rnacentral:lncRNA from 1 species
AUUGAGGUAGACAGAGUUGUUGGUCUCUUUCCUUUCGUGUGGUGCUGGAAUCCUGAGCAAAUACAAUGAGACAAGUCUCUCAAAACUGGCUAGGAAAACCAAGAAGCAUGCUUAGGAGGAAAAAGGUGAACGUGAAGAAAUGGAGCAUAGCCUGCAGACGUUUGGAACUGAGCUGUUGUAGUGGUACCAAAUGCCAUGGGAGAGAGGUCUUGUACUCGGUGUUGGCCUUGGGGAUUGGCUAUAAUUGUGACCCUGGAGUUAAGUCAGUCUUAGAAGACACCAGCUAGGGAUGCAACGGAGCAGAGUACACGUUUGUCAGGCUCUUCUGGGUUAUCGAGAAGGAGACCUGAGGCAGCCAAGGGCUGGGCAGCAGAAGCUCUUGGCCCUUGCUGGGUUAUGUGAAGGCUGUUUCUCUGGAAGAUCUCUGCUGUCACCAGUAAAGCUGACCUGCCACUGUUCUGUAGAACUACCAGUAGAAAUGCUCACACAUGUUCACAAAGACAGGAACACCACGGAAGCCAGGUUGGUAAGAAUCAGAAGUCAAAGAGUUGGUGCAGGUGUGUAUUAGUAGCAGCCUGGGAAAUAAUUGAGAUUAAAGGGAAGCAAGAUGGAGCAUCUAAACCCCCAGACAGCAAAAUGGUGGGUUCCUUAAUGUCUGAUCCAUGCAGCUCAAAGCAGCUUCUAUUGCUGAGUGAGGCUAAAAACAGGGAGGGGCUCAUGGGCCAGCUGAGAUUCAUGCAAGGUAUGGCUGGUAGAAGUAAACAUGGUUGGCAAGGAAGAGUAAACUUGUGUUUGCAAAGUACAAGUUAAAGGACACAAAGAAGAGCCCAGAAUUGGAAAGAUGCCUGCUGGAGCAGACUUGUGUUGAGAAUCACUGAUGAGUAAGGGACCCAGAGAUAAGGUGAGCUUUAAAGCAGAAGUGUUGGCUCUGGGUUAGAAUACUAGCUGCUCCUCUAGUGGACCAAGGUUGGAUUCUAACAUCCCAUGACAGUUCCACUACAACUCCCGUCCUAGGGGAUUUGACACCCUUUUCUGGCUUCCAUGAGCGCUACACAUACAUGAUCCACAAACAUAUAUAUCUACACAUAUUAAACAUAUAUAUCUACACAUAUUAAAAACAGGGAAAAAAUUGGGGUUGGGGUGAAACAGGUUUUCCUGUGUAGCCUUGGCUGUCCUGGAAGUUCCUCCACAUACCAGACUGGCCUCAAACUCAGAGAUCUGCCUGCCUCUGCUUACCAGGUGCUGGGAUCAGAGGUGUGUGCAAUCACUCUUCAGUGGGUUUUAAAAAAAAAAAAUUAAGGUGGCUGCCAGAAGUGCCUCUGUGGAGGCCUGGCCCAAUUGUGAGACAGAUGGGCUGGAGGAACUGAUGAAAUUAGUUUGGGGUCUUGACACCCAAACCCUCUCCAUUUGCUUAUCAUUGUGCCCAUGGCAUAAGUCACUCUCAGGUCCUUCCUCACAGCUCUGCUUGGAGAGGCAUGCAGUAACUCAGAGCCAUUCUGUCUGCACAGAGCAGUUAGGGAGGUUUCUAGGAUUCAGCCUUAAUGCUGGUGUUGAUGCUUUGUCUCAUUCUUAUUAACUUAUUAGCAUUUUGUGAUGCUUGGGAUUGAACCCAGGGCCUCACAGAUGCUAGCUAGACAAGCGUUCCAUCACUACACUCCCACCUUUCUUUUAUUUAAAGCUCGAGGACAGUAAGGGUUUAACAAAAUUGGGGGUGGGGGUGGCAUCUUUCAUCCCACCAGAGUUCAAGGCAGGUCAGCCAGGGCUGUAUAGAGAAACCCACUUUU